GAGAGGCCAGUACAACAACUGGACGACACGUUUGACUGUGGGAUGUUCGUCAUCAAAUUCAUGCAGCAACCUGAUUUAAGCCCCGGUCCACACAAGUUCGCUCCCUCUGUGCGUCAUAAGUUGUUGGUUGACAUCGUUAUGGAUGUCAAUAAUGCAAAGAUCGCAGAGUACCGGGACUGCCUUCAUAUGAGCAAUGCCACAAGCUAGGCCAGUGAUGGGAAUGGGCUGCCAGUACGCCACUAAUUUGGGUGGCAAUAGGACUUUAACUAAUUUUUUAUUCUUUGAUUUCAAUAUGGAUGUUAAUUAUGGGUCCCCAGUAUUGUUUUUGCUGGACGAUGUAAAUAUGGACCAACUGUAAACAUGGAUCAAACAUGUCGACGUGGCUGCUGACUUAGUACUAUUUUCUUUACGCAUGUUUCUUGUUCGGAUGAAUGCGACUGUAACUGUAUAUAAUUUACGGCUGCUUUUGUUACCGAAGUUAAUUUAUAAUUUAAUUACAAAAAAGGGAAAAUUAAUUUUCAAAAAUGAAAGAAACCACAUUAUGAAUGAAAACUCAAUACUCUUCGUAGGUAAGUUAUAUAU